GACGAACGCUGGCGGCGUGCUUAACACAUGCAAGUCGAACGGUGAAGCUCCAGCUUGCUGGAGUGGAUCAGUGGCGAACGGGUGAGUAACACGUGAGCAACCUGCCCCUGACUCUGGAAUAAGCGCUGGAAACGGCGUCUAAUACUGGAUACGAGAAGGGCCCGCAUGGGCACUUUCUGGAAAGUUUUUCGGUUGGGGAUGGGCUCGCGGCCUAUCAGCUUGCUGGUGAGGUAAUGGCUCACCAAGGCGACGACGGGUAGCCGGCCUGAGAGGGCGACCGGCCACACUGGGACUGAGACACGGCCCAGACUCCUACGGGAGGCAGCAGUGGGGAAUAUUGCACAAUGGGCGAAAGCCUGAUGCAGCGACGCCGCGUGAGGGAUGACGGCCUUCGGGUUGUAAACCUCUUUCAGCAGGGAAGAAGCGAAAGUGGCGGUACCUGCAGAAGAAGCACCGGCUAACUACGUG
rnacentral:rRNA from 1 species